rnacentral:lncRNA from 11 species
CCCUAUCCAAAUCACUGAAAGGGCUGUCUUUUUAUUACAGACAAUAUCCGAAUGCCAGUUCAUGUGGAAAUUAACAGAGGAAUAAAACAUCCAUUGAGAAGACACAACGUAGAAUUACCCAAAUCACCAGAACGCAGACCAUCUAAAUCUUUCUCAGAUGACAUCCAGCUCAGAGCUUACAAGCAUCUCAGCUGGCAAACACUAAGUGUGAAGAUCCUUGGCUUUCUAAACCACCACACUGGCAAAACAAUUUUAACAAGCCAACUGUAGAGGGACAUGCUGGCCUGUAUUUCCAUCAGAUUAACAGGU